UGCAGUCGAGGGGUAACAUGAGAGCUUGCUCUUGAUGACGACCGGCGCACGGGUGCGUAACGCGUAUGCAACCUACCCACAACUGGAGCAUAGCCCGGAGAAAUCCGGAUUAAUACUCCAUAAUGCAGGGGUACCUCAUGGUACUAUUUGCUAAAGAUUUAUCGGCUGUGGAUGGGCAUGCGUCUGAUUAGUUUGUUGGUGAGGUAACGGCUCACCAAGACCACGAUCAGUAGGGGGUCUGAGAGGAUGAUCCCCCACACUGGCACUGAGAUACGGGCCAGACUCCUACGGGAGGCAGCAGUAGGGAAUAUUGGGCAAUGGGCGAAAGCCUGACCCAGCCAUGCCGCGUGAAGGAUGAAGGCCUUCUGGGUUGUAAACUUCUUUUAUAUAGGAAGAAAAAGGUCAUGCGUGACCAAUUGACGGUACUAUAUGAAUAAGCACCGGCUAACUCCGUGCCAGCAGCCGCGGUAAUA
rnacentral:rRNA from 1 species